UGCAAAUGUUUACGUCGAUGUGACCGAGUAUAUAUAUUUCCAGUCUGUAUGUUCUGAUGUGUGUGGAAACUGUGCCAGCUGUGAAAACAAAUGUUCCUCCUUUUUGGGGGGAUUUCUACUAGAUUGCAGCUCUAUAGAUGUUUUCCUGCCUCUGAUUUACACAUUUGUAUAAUCGUUGGUGCAAUUACUGAGUCACUGAUCGUGAGUUAUUCACACACACUUAGUGGGAAUUUACGAGGAGACAGAAGCCGCCAACAGAAGCUCUUUAAGUGAUGAUGAUGAAGUGAUAAAGAGUAUAACAGGACUGCCUCCAUUUUCUCUAAUGUUCACUCUGCUAAUCAGUCGGUCCAGGAAUUUUAAUCGCUCUGUCAGAUGCAUAUUAUCACAGUCCUGACAUAAAAAUUGGGGUUUGUUUAUUUUGUUCCUGCUGUGACCUGAUUUUUAAAAGGCGCUUCUAUCUGACCUCAGACCCGCGAGAUUCAGCAGAUUUCACACCGACAUUACCCACAGUGCCCCGCUGUAAUCUCUGCUCUGGGAAUACUGGAAUGUGGGAGAACUAAAGGGGUGUUUAUUUUCAAGAAGCGUGGCAGUCCGAGCGCGGAGGAUUGGAGGAGGCAUUCAGGUCGCUAAUUCUGCGUUAGCACAGUGAUACAGCUGGUUAAAAAAACACUUCACACCAGGCUGGAGACCCUGUGCACGGUGUCGACCUCUAGUGGCCAUAGUCGUUAUUACAGCAGGAGGACAGGGCUCAUUUCCUGCUGCUGCAGCUUCACAGUUUCAGGGAAUCUAAAAAAAAAAAGGACAUCGCCAAACUGGGUGACAAAACCCAACAUAUCGACAUCGUACGACUUCUGAUGAAGAAAUGCCUCCAGGAAAAUGAAAGAACAGACUUCAGAGAGGAGGUUAAAAACUGUAACAACCCUGCGAACAGAAGCUUCUUCGAAUGAAAUCCAGGGAACAACAUCUCGAUAAUCAGUUAGAAGUUAAGUCGUCGGGUACCAAGAUCCACUUCAGAGAUCCAACUGUGCCGUGAAGUAAAACAAACUUUCUUUUUCCCCAAUAAAAGUGAUUUGUGGGCUGAAUGAAUCACUGUGAACCCUCAAGAAGGUUCUGUUUUUGUCUGUAUCCAUUUGUUGGUUGGUUCUGGAUCGAUCGUGAAUUUCUGGUGUCAAUCUUGAUAAAGAGACAGAUGCAGGAAUUUUCUUUCUCACUUCCUCUUCUCAAGGCCUUGGCAGAGGCACUCACUCUACUGAUUCACCCUCCUAGUUUGACUUGAUUCUUUCCCUGAACGUGGCAAAUAACUUGAAUUUCAUAACCGCAGAUUUACGUUUGCAGUUACACAACUACAGAUCUCCCUCCUGCUGUACAUGUUGUUUCCACCUGCAGACAUAAUGUUUCCUUACAUUCCUCCAGCCGACCUCGCUGUCAGAUUCAUCCAUAACGGGUCAAAGUGGGAGGAAAGGACAAGUUGUGUAUCCACAGAAAAAUAAAACAGCUGCGUUUAAUUCCUUCUCCUUCAUAUUACAGCUGA